rnacentral:rRNA from 1 species
UACGAAGGGGGCUAGCGUUGUUCGGAAUUACUGGGCGUAAAGCGCGCGCAGGCGGUUUCUCAAGUCAGUGGUGAAAGCCCGGAGCUCAACUCCGGAACUGCCAUUGAAACUGUGAAACUUGAGGACGAGAGAGGUGAGUGGAAUUCCCAGUGUAGAGGUGAAAUUCGUAGAUAUUGGGGAGAACACCGGUGGCGAAGGCGGCUCACUGGCUCGUUCCUGACACUAAGGCACGAAAGCGUGGGGAGCAAACGGG